GCCAUUAAUCGCUAGCUUAAAACUGGUUUUAUGCAUGUCGACAUACCCGGAAGUUAUGAAUGACUUCAAAACUUAAUUAUCUGAAAAUAAAACGUUUUAUUUUUCUUAUGUGGAAUAGUAAUGGAUAGUAUAGCUGGGGAGAGGACUUUCUCUGACUGAACGACGAGCGAAAUGAUUAUCUGUAUAUUGUUGUACUUCUUUUGCGGAAAUGAGAUAAAAGGUAUUUAUGAACUUCAAAAAUUUUAUUAUUCAGAAAUUAAUAACUGUAGCAGCAAGUUAUUUUGAUGUGUUAUUCACAUGUUACAGUUACAAUAAGUUAAUAAAAGUUAUGCGCUUUUUUAUCUUAACCUGUUCGCAGUUUCAUAAUAAAGGACACCAUACAUUCCAGUCUGUCUUCAUGUCUGUCUUUUUUUGUGUCAAUGUUUUCUUCAAAAUAAGCUAGCUCUAUUUUCUAACCUUCCUGACAAAAUGAUUUUAAAGAAAUUCUGUUUUGCAAUUUCGUUAGUUUUCAGUUACUAUACAUUCGCACUACAUACAUUUAUAUAUGUAAGGUCCUAUAAGAUGCAAAUAUAAACGUUCCAGCUGCAAUGAAGUCGGGUAGUUUUACAACCACACAUUUUAUUGGAAAAGGUGGUAUUUCGUCAACAAUUCUUUACAGUUUUUGUCAUUUUGAAAUGUAUGAUAUACAUUGUAUCAAACAUUUGGUCAUUGCCUAUAUCGGUUUUUAUAUGUGAGAUGAAAUAAUUAUCUUUUCGUAUGUUUUAUCGCAGCGCUUAUUCUAUAAAACUUCAAACAAAAACAUGAGAAGGAGAGUAACACACUAAAUGCUUUGACUUCACACAGUUCAAUUUUCUUCAAAGGCUGGUAUACUUUCUGCACAAAAAUUAAACUUUUUAUUGCAAUUAAAGUGUAUAUACCAACACAGUAACUCUGUCACCCGCAAAUGUUGUCGCUGUGGAGAAUACAAGUGUUACACUAACGUGUUCAAAGACAAAUGGAUCACUCUUAGAAACUCGGUGGACUAACUCACAAAUUGCAAGCCAAGACGCAAAUUUGGUGCUGUACAAUGGGAAAUGCAUAAUGACAAGAUUUUUGAGCAACAGUGACCUUUUUGAUGGUAUUUGUAACGGUAAUGGAACCUAUUCUGUACUUCUCAAAAGAGUAGACCGAUUACAACAUGGUGCUAUAUGGAGAUGCAAAGAGACCAUAGAAAAUAGUAAUGGAGUCCCAAUUAAUGUAUUAGGUAGAACCUUUAAGUAUUUGAGUUUCAAUAUUCACAUCCUAUAAACGACUGUAUCCCCCGCUUCCUCUUGCGAGUGAUCAAAACAAUAAAAUGACACGGAAAAGGUACGAAUCGUCAUUAAAUUCAUUAUUUGGCUUUACACUCUAUGUGUAUUUAAGUUAAACGGUAAGUCUAACAUAAAUAUGUGUAUAUGAUGAUAUAAUAGAUGCAACUGACAGGUAAUGUUUAAAAAAUGUUGACUGAUCACACUCAUUGCAUGAAAAUUCUCUCGACGAUGUCAAGAAAUUGAUGAAUAUCACGCCAAAUUGAUUUGUAAUCCAAUUAUCCAUUUUGUUUUCUGUAAUAAGUAUGCAUACUCCAUAAAUGUAUGUAAAUAAAAUGUUUUGUUUC